rnacentral:rRNA from 1 species
UAACGCGUGGAUAACCUGCCGUAUGCAGGGGGAUAACAGUUGGAAACAGCUGCUAAUACCGCAUAAGCGCACAGUACCGCAUGGUACGGUGUGAAAAGAUUUAUCGGCAUACGAUGGAUCCGCGUCUGAUUAGCCAGUUGGCGGGGUAACGGCCCACCAAAGCGACGAUCGGUAGCCGGCCUGAGAGGGCGGACGGCCACAUUGGGACUGAGACACGGCCCAAACUCCUACGGGAGGCAGCAGUGGGGAAUAUUGCACAAUGGGGGAAACCCUGAUGCAGCGACGCCGCGUGAGUGAAGAAGUAUUUCGGUAUGUAAAGCUCUAUCAGCAGGGAAGAAAAUGACGGUACCUGACUAAGAAGCCCCGGCUAACUACGUGCCAGCAGCCGCGGUAAUACGUAGGGGGCAAGCGUUAUCCGGAUUUACUGGGUGUAAAGGGAGCGUAGACGGCGCUGCAAGUCCGGAGUGAAAGCCCAUGGCUUAACCAUGGUACUGCUCUGGAAACUGUGGAGCUUGAGUGCGGGAGGGGCAGGCGGAAUUCCUAGUGUAGCGGUGAAAUGCGUAGAUAUUAGGAGGAACACCGGCGGCGAAGGCGGCCUGCUGGACCGUAACUGACGUUGAGGCUCGAAAGCGUGGGGAGCAAACAGGAUUAGAUACCCUGGUAGU